CUUUCGGGGGUACUCGAGCGGCGAACGGGUGAGUAACACGUGAGUAAUCUGCCCUGCGCUCUGGGAUAGCCACCGGAAACGGUGAUUAAUACCGGAUAGGACCACUUCACGCAUGUGAUGGUGGUGGAAAGUUUUUUCGGCGCAGGAUGUGCUCGCGGCCUAUCAGCUUGUUGGUGAGGUAACGGCUCACCAAGGCUUUGACGGGUAACCGGCCUGAGAGGGUGACCGGUCACACUGGGACUGAGACACGGCCCAGACUCCUACGGGAGGCAGCAGUGGGGAAUAUUGGACAAUGGGCGGAAGCCUGAUCCAGCAACGCCGCGUGAGGGAUGACGGCCUUCGGGUUGUAAACCUCUUCCAGUACCGACGAAGCGAAAGUGACGGUAGGUACAGAAGAAGGACCGGCCAACUACGUGCCAGCAGCCGCGGUAAUACGUAGGGUCCGAGCGUUGUCCGGAAUUAUUGGGCGUAAAGGGCUCGUAGGCGGUUUGUCGCGUCGGGAGUGAAAACACCGGGCUUAACUCGGUGCUUGCUUUCGAUACGGGCAGACUAGAGGUAUGCAGGGGAGAAUGGAAUUCCUGGUGUAGCGGUGAAAUGCGCAGAUAUCAGGAGGAACACCGGUGGCGAAGGCGGUUCUCUGGGCAUUACCUGACGCUGAGGAGCGAAAGUGUGGGGAGCGAACAGG
rnacentral:rRNA from 1 species